CCGGAUCAACAGAUCAAGAAGACGUCAGAUUGGUUCUUCAAGGAAGUGGUGAACACAUUUCUUCCAUCUCAAACAAACCAAGAUCAUGCAGAAGGUGGUGCUCCUGAGUUUGAGAUAGAUAUUCUGUUUUUGUGUCAGUGCUUGUAUGAACAUCAGUCUACUGAGGCCUGUCUCCUUCUCCUGGACAAACUGGACUAUCAUCUAGACCUGAGUGGAGAACAUCUUGAUCCUCACCAGUGCUGUGCAGUGUCUUAUGUGACCAGUCAGUCUGCAGAGAGAAAGGUUGGCUUGGACCUGAACGACUGCAUUGUGUCAGACCAAGGAGUAAGGCUGAUACUGGGCUCUCUGAAGAAUGUCAGACAUCUUGGGCCCUCCUCUGGUGAUUCAUCUGACCCCUCAAUGCUGUGUCAACUCUGGACAACUUUGCUGAGCAGUGUGGCAGAGAUGGACUUCACCAGCUUACUUGGUCUCUGUGGAAAUGAGUUGCACCUUCCAGUCCAGGGUGAAAGACGAGUGUUUGAGAGAGCAGAAGAAGUGAUGAAGCAGAGUCUAGAGAGGGUUCAUCUCUGUCUACACUGGGGUCAGAGAACUCUUCUCAGUGAAGCUCUCAGCAAAACCAUUUUAGACUGUUUAUCACAUAUCAACAAACUCAGGUUUACCCCACUAGAACAUCAGAGAGGAUCCCCUGAAAGACUGGAGACAGAAGAGAAAGCAGUCCUACUAGAUUUGUGUUUACAAGCAGCACUAGAUCACAGAGAAACUUUCCAGAGAGCUGUGAACACACUGCUGUCACUGUUCUCUGUGUAUCA